CCUACGGGAGGCAGCAGUGGGGAAUCUUGCGCAAUGGGCGAAAGCCUGACGCAGCAACGCCGCGUGCGGGAAGAAGGCUUUCGGGCUGUAAACCGCUUUCAGCAGGAACGAAAAUGACGGUACCUGCAGAAGAAGGAGCGGCCAACUAUGUGCCAGCAGCCGCGGUGAUACAUAGGCUUCAAGCGUUGUCCGGAUUUAUUGGGCGUAAAGAGUUCGUAGGCGGUCGAGUAAGUCGGGUGUGAAAAUUCUGGGCUCAACCCAGAGACGCCACCCGAUACUGCUUGACUUGAGUUCGAUAGGGGAGUGGGGAAUUCCUAGUGUAGCGGUGAAAUGCGCAGAUAUUAGGAGGAACACCGGUGGCGAAGGCGCCACUCUGGAUCGAUACUGACGCUGAGGAACGAAAGCAUGGGUAGCAAACAGGAUUAGAUACCCUGGUAGUCCAUGCCGUAAACGGUGGGCACUAGGUGUGGGUUUCUAUUAACGAAAUCCGCGCCGUCGCUAACGCAUUAAGUGCCCCGCCUGGGGGUAGGUACGGUCGCGAGACGUAAACGUUAAAGUAAGUAGACGGCGNGAGACGUGCCGACGGACGACGACGAGGAGUAGG
rnacentral:rRNA from 1 species